rnacentral:rRNA from 1 species
UACAGGGGGUGCAAACGUUGCUCGGAAUUAUUGGGCGUAAAGCGCGCGUAGGCGGCCACUUAAGUCGGAUGUGAAAGCCCCUGGCUCAACUGGGGAAGUGCACCCGAAACUGAAUGGCUUGAGUGCGAAAGAGGGUCGCGGAAUUCCGAGUGUAGAGGUGAAAUUCGUAGAUAUUCGGAGGAACACCAGUGGCGAAGGCGGCUCACUGGCUCGAUACUGACGCUGAGGUGCGAAAGCGUGGGGAGCAAACAGG